rnacentral:rRNA from 1 species
CGUAGGUAACCUGCCUCUUAGCGGGGGAUAACUAUUGGAAACGAUAGCUAAUACCGCAUAAAAGUCGAUAUCGCAUGAUAUUGAUUUGAAAGGUGCAAUUGCAUCACUAAGAGAUGGACCUGCGUUGUAUUAGCUAGUUGGUGAGGUAACGGCUUACCAAGGCGACGAUACAUAGCCGACCUGAGAGGGUGAUCGGCCACACUGGGACUGAGACACGGCCCAG